rnacentral:lncRNA from 1 species
GUAUUUCUCUUCUCCCUCUUUUCUCUCACUGGCUUACUCUGCUUUGAUCAAUUAAAUUAAUCAAGUAUAUGCCAAGGGCCUACUACAUGCCCAUCGGUCUGGGAAGUAUAUACACAGAAUCCAUGUUAGAAUUUAAUUUAUUAUAAUACAUAGCAUAAUACACAGUCCUUGUUCUUAAAGAACCUUCAAGUAUAAUUCAGUCAUUCAUCUGACAAAUAUUUAUUUGUUGGCAGAGUGCUAGGUCACAGUUUAAAUAAGACUUCAUCUCUGCCCUUACAGAGUUUGCAAUCUCAUAGAGGAUUAAGACACAAAGAUAAAUAAAUAUAAGCUCAACAUUUGAAGAACAGUACAUUGGAUGCACUCUAUGUAAAAUACAGUCUAACAAGCUGAUGAAAUAUAAUUAGCACAUGAAAACCAAUUGGAGUAAAGGCAAAGGAGUUUUCAAUGCUCUAACUCAGUGGAAAAUGAGGGAACCAAGGAUCAGAGAAACUAAGUGAUUUAUUCGUUUGCAUAGCUAGAAAGAUUCAAACCAGUGUACUCACAAUCAAACUAUCCUACGAUCUGGCCUUGGAUACUAGCUGGAUGACUUUGGGCAAGUCACUUAGCUCUGUUUGCAUUAGUUUCCUCAUCUGUAAAAUGAGCUGGAGAAGGAAAUGGCAAGUCAUUCCAGUAUCUUUGCCAAGAAAACCCUAAAUGGGGUCAUGAAGAACUGGACAUCAGUGAGCAACAUCAAUAACAGGUAACAUUUAAGUAAGCUCAGUAAACCUAUCCUUCCCCCAACAAGUAGCUAACAUAAGCGUUCUUAUUUCUAUAUUCUCGUGAUUUAGCAUUGACAUGUGAUUCUACUGCAGCAGUCUCCUGCCACUAUAAUGAGGGAACAAUUCCAUUGAGCCACAUUUCUUUCAUCUCCAACCUUCUUCUGGAAGAAGAGAAACCAUUCCAUAGAGCACCAGACUCCUCCUUUCCAGGCAAGAGGAGAAAUGUCAUUCCAUUAUGACCUCGUUAAUCUUCCUCCUUAAUAGAGAUGUCAAGGGAGGGCUGAAUAAUGAGCUUCCAAAAUUGUAUUUAAUGGCUCAAGAUGCUGAAUGUUUUUAUCUUUGAUUGCUGAAAGAAUUCACUGACCAAUUAAUUCAUUGGUUAUUGAGAGUCUGAUCAAUAAAUUGAUUUUCUUCCCUGGAGCCCA